GACGUAGGGCGCGAGCGUUGUCCGGAAUCAUUGGGCGUAAAGCGCGCGUAGGCGGCCCGGUAAGUCCGCUGUGAAAGUCAAAGGCUCAACCUUUGAAUGUCAGCGGAUACUGCCGGGCUAGAGUCCGGAAGAGGCGAGUGGAACUCCUGGUGUAGCGGUGGAAUGCGCAGAUAUCAGGAAGAACACCAACGGCGAAGGCAGCUCGCUGGGACGGAACUGACGCUGAGACGCGAAAGCGUGGGGAGCGAACAGG
rnacentral:rRNA from 1 species